AUUUCAUCCGUGUGACGUCCGAAUACUGCGCACAACACUCACUCAUGCGAAAUGUCAAAAAUCGACGCGUUUUGCAAAGAAAAUAAAAUUUAAUUUUUGCCUCAUUUGUUCACGAGUUUAGCCGUCGGCGAUAUUUUUUUCUCCUUUGAAAAGCGCUCAAUUCGUGGCGGGGUGUGUUACGUACGCAUUUUUUUCUUAUUAAUUCGAUGAAUUAAAUUGUGCACAAAUCCAGUUUUUCCACAAAUCGAAUGCAAUAUUUAAAAGUUGAACACUGUGAAACGUGAAAAUAAAUGAAGUUGUUUCAGAACAAGUGAACAAUUUUUUUUGAUUUGUGCAGUGGAAAGUUGCCAUCCAUCGCAUUAGUGCACAUGUGUGUGCGCUCCUUUGUUGCACGAUCCCCUUGUACCUGCCGUCUAUUAUAUCUGUCUACCCACUGAAUUGUUCAUCAACAGUAUCAGACGCAUCUUUAUGAGCUGGUUGUUGAUUACCAUACACGGCCCCAGUUAUUUGCGUAUAGGCAUCCAAUGCUUGUAAAAUAGCAACUACACAAGCGACGUGUGUUGUUAUCGCGAUUUAAAUUCCAUAUAAUUGAAUUUGCUCUAGUUUUGCACUAAGGUGGGAUGAAAAGCGGAUAACCUGUGAAUAUUACUACACGCUUCCAUUGUAAAACGCAUACAAGCUAUACAUUUUUGUACCCGCUUCCAAUUACGCAGCAUUUGGCGCAUAAACUGAAUCCGCCUCAGCACUGACAAAGCGACUCUUCUAAAGACUCAAACAAAAAAUGGAGCUCCAAGUAUUGUUGGAUUACAAAUAUCUCACGAAGGAGCAACUUAAUGGCUUUGAUAAUUAUAAGUACAGUGCACGUGAUACUUCACCGCUGAGCGUUUAUGUUAUGCACCCAUUCUGGAAUUGGACUGUCAAGUUCUUUCCGCGAUGGCUAGCACCAAAUGUUAUGACUUUUCUUGGCUUCCUCUGUACGGUGGUGAAUUUCCUGCUUUUAUCCUACUACGAUUGGAAUUUUUACGCGAGUUCCGGCCUACCAAACACCAAACCCAUCCCAUCAUGGGUGUGGUUAUGUUGUGCGAUAAACAUCUUUUUAGCUUACACAUUAGAUGGCAUUGAUGGUAAACAGGCCCGACGUAUUGGCUUAUCCGGACCGCUGGGUGAACUCUUCGAUCACGGCCUGGACUCGUAUACAGCUGUGUUGAUACCCACAUGUUUGUAUAGUAUAUUUGGUCGAAGUCCUGCGUACUCAGUGGCGCCCAUACGCAUGUACUAUGUAUGUUGGAUGGUAUUUCUAAAUUUUUAUAUAUCCCAUUGGGAAAAGUAUAAUACGGGCGUGCUAUAUUUGCCAUGGGGCUAUGAUUUAAGCAUGUGGGGUUCUACAGCUAUGUACCUGUUAACAUGGUGGUUUGGCUUUGAGUUUUGGCAACGCACAUUACCGCUGGGCAUUACCCUGGGGAACAUGAUGGAAAUCGUUUUGCAUUUUAGUGCGAUGGCUAAUACACCGAUGGUGGCCAUAAAUGUGUAUAACUCUUAUGUGCAACGUACUGGCAAAAUGCGCACUCUCAAGGAAGCGAUGCGUCCCAUAUGGCCAUUAUUCUCAUUCAUGGUCAUAAUGCUGUUGUGGCCCUACAUCUCGCCAAAUAAAAUAAUGGAAAAAGAUCCACGCAUAAUGUUUAUGCUGAGUGGCACAAUAUUCUCUAACGUCAGUGUAAGUAUGUAUGUCCGAUCUCUGGAGGAUACAAAAAAUACAUGUAGCGGUAAUAUCAACAAGUGCUCAGUCACAGGUGGUACUUUUAGAUUUCUAGUUUUGUGAGUUUGAACGAGCGUUAUCUUUAUAUUAAUUAUGAUUCAUUUUCCUCCAAAAAUUCAUGGAAUCCCCAUAUGUUGAAAACUCAAUGAGUUUAUGAAUUUAUGACAUGCCUUACCACUUUUUAUACAUAUGUUUGUAUAUUCUCCAAAUAUAGGCUAUAUAACGUAAGAUUCACUGGUAAUGCAUGCUUUACACAUUAGGAUAACGAUACUUUUUUCUAAUCAUACUAGCGAUAACAAUGGCAAUUGCACACUGGACUUCAUUCAAAUAGCUUAAAGUGAUUCGCUUCACACUCUGCUUUUUUAUUUAAUAACUAGAUGAGUCGUAUACUCUGUUAUAAGUAUGUAUGUAUAUGAGAUCACUUAAGUGAUCACAAUUGUGAACUACAAUCUUAACCGGUGUGUAAAAAAUUAUAAAGAAAUUCAUGCAGCCUCGAAAAUGCAGUUGUAAAUGACAAUUUUGGUAUCUAUUGCAUGCACUUACUACGCAGCACACCCCUUAUGUGCGCUUAUUCUAUUUUGUCUAUGAAAUUUAGUUUCUUUUCCAUUGUAGGUAGCUGAUAACCUAUCAGUGUUGGCGAUGAGUUAUUAUUUACACUUAAGAUUCUGCAUGUAUGUCGUUGCGUUUGUUGUUUAUUGAAGGUUAGUAGGUAUUUUUAUGUACUAAAUCAAAUACAAACUGCAAAACAGAAAAUAAUCCCGACUGAUAAGUGUACGGGGAGAAAUCGCAUUAUUAGUUAAUUAAGUGUACACAUCCGAUUAGCUACUUAGCCUACAUAAUAUUGAAUACUUAAAUAAGAUUCUAUAAUCAGAAGUACGCUUGUGGGUGCGAUUCGUUUGCACUUUCAUACAAGACGCUUGAUUUUAACUUCAAAUUCAGCUGAUAAGCGCAUGGCUUAGCUUAGUGUCGCCUGAUUGUUGCGCAAAUGUCCAAUACACGUUGUGAAAGUUUCCAUUAUUUGACACCCGUGUUUGUGAUCUUCGUUGGAAUCGGCUUAUGGAUACCGCUUCUUGAACGUGUAAUGCUCUAUAUGCUGUUCAUAAUUACAACACUUACACAUUGGCAUUAUGGAAGAAAUGUGGUGAAUGAAAUGUGUGAUCAUUUCAAUCGCAUUUGCUUUAGUGUGAACAUGCGUAAACCAGCGGUGCGACAUGAUCAAGCGGCGGAAAGUGAAGAUGUACGUUUGCGUGAUAUGGAAAAGACAGACUAAGAGAACAAAUGGAACCAAAAAAAAA